rnacentral:rRNA from 1 species
AUACGUAGGGGGCGAGCGUUAUCCGGAUUCAUUGGGCGUAAAGCGCGCGUAGGCGGCCCGUUUGGUCGGGAGUUAAAUCCGGGGGCUCAACCCCCGCCCGCUCCCGAUACCGGCGGGCUUGGGUCUUGUAGGGGAAGGCGGGAUUUCAAGGGUAGCGGGGGGAUGCGCAGAUAUUUGGAAGAACACCGGUGGCGAAGGCGGCCUUCUGGGCCACGACUGACGCGGAGGCGCGAAAGCUAGGGGAGCGAACAGGAUUAGAUACCCUGGUAGUCCUAGCCGUAAACGAUGGACACUAGGUGUGGGGGGAUGUGCCCUCCGUGCCGCAGCUAACGCAUUAAGUGUCCCGCCUGGGGAGUACGGCCGCAAGGCUAAAACUCAAAGGAAUUGACGGGG